rnacentral:rRNA from 1 species
GCAUUUCCCUUACACCGAAAAGCCGCCCGUGCAAAUCGAGCCACCCUGACGCCCAACUGCUAGCCCAAAAACAUUCAUAAAACCCAAAUAUUAUUAACAUUAAACAACCUAAAAACCCCUAACAAACCAUUUUACCCCUUAAGUAAAGGCGAUAGAAAAAGGACUAACUGGAGCAAUAGAAAAAGUACCGCAAGGGAACGCUGAAAAAGAAAUGAAACAAAUCAAAUAAGCCUAAUAAAGCAGAGAUCCCCCCUCGUACCUUUUGCAUCAUGAUUUAGCAAGUAAAGCCCAAGCAAAGAGCCCUGUAGUUUGAGACCCCGAAACUAAGCGAGCUACUCCAAGACAGCCAAAUAGAGCAACCCCGUCCCUGUGGCAAAAGGGUGGGAAGAUCUUCGAGUAGAGGUGAUAGACCUACCGAGCAUAGUUAUAGCUGGUUACCUGAGAAAUGAAUAGAAGUUCAGCCCUCCGGCUUCCUACCCCCUCCUAGUACCACUAAUAUUGGCUACAAGAAAACCAGAGGAGUUAAUUAAAGGAGGUACAGCUCCUUUUUAAUAGAAACACCUU